GACUCCUACGGGAGGCAGCAGUGGGGAAUUUUGGACAAUGGACGAAAGUCUGAUCCAGCCAUUCCGCGUGCAGGACGAAGGCCUUCGGGUUGUAAACUGCUUUUGUACAGAACGAAAAGGUCUCUAUUAAUACUAGGGGCCCAUGACGGUACCGUAAGAAUAAGCACCGGCUAACUACGUG
rnacentral:rRNA from 1 species